UACGGGGGGGGCAAGCGUUGUUCGGAAUUACUGGGCGUAAAGGGCUCGUAGGCGGCCAACUAAGUCGGACGUGAAAUCCCCAGGCUCAACCUGGGAACUGCGUCCGAUACUGGAUGGCUUGAAUUCGGGAGAGGGAUGCAGAAUUCCAGGUGUAGCGGUGAAAUGCGUAGAUAUCUGGAGGAAUACCGGUGGCGAAGGCGGCAUCCUGGACCGACAUUGACGCUGAUGAGCGAAAGCUAGGGAGCAAACGGG
rnacentral:rRNA from 1 species